GAUGAACGCUGGCGGCGUGCCUAAUACAUGCAAGUCGAGCGAACGGACGAGACGCUUGCUUUUCUGAUGUUAGCGGCGGACGGGUGAGUAACACGUGGAUAACCUACCUAUAAGACUGGGAUAACUUCGGGAAACCGGAGCUAAUACCGGAUAAUAUUUUGAACCGCAUGGUUCAAAAGUGAAUGACGGUCUUGCUGUCACUUAUAGAUGGAUCCGCGCUGCAUUAGCUAGUUGGUAAGGUAACGGCUUACCAAGGCAACGAUGCAUAGCCGACCUGAGAGGGUGAUCGGCCACACUGGAACUGAGACACGGUCCAGACUCCUACGGGAGGCAGCAGUAGGGAAUCUUCCGCAAUGGGCGAAAGCCUGACGGAGCAACGCCGCGUGAGUGAUGAAGGUCUUCGGAUCGUAAAACUCUGUUAUUAGGGAAGAACAUAUGUGUAAGUAACUGUGCACAUCUUGACGGUACCUAAUCAGAAAGCCACGGCUAACUACGUG
rnacentral:rRNA from 1 species